rnacentral:rRNA from 1 species
AACCAGCACCUCAAGUGGUCAGGAUGAUUAUUGGGCCUAAAGCAUCCGUAGCCGGCUCUGUAAGUUUUCGGUUAAAUCUGUACGCUCAACGUACAGGCUGCCGGGAAUACUGCAGAGCUAGGGAGUGGGAGAGGUAGACGGUACUCGGUAGGAAGGGGUAAAAUCCUUUGAUCUAUUGAUGACCACCUGUGGCGAAGGCGGCCAUCUGGACAGUAACUGACGCUGAAGCACGAAAGUGUGGGUAGCAAACAGG